CAGAGUAAGGCGCCUCCGGGCGCCCACUCCAACCCUUUGUGUACCUGUAGUCGUUGCCUCGGCGGGCCGGUGAUUUAUUCGCCGCCGGCUCACGCCGGAGAGUGCCCGCCAGAGGACCUAUAAACUCCAGUUAUUAUGACGUCCGAGUCUCAUACAAAUAUAUCA
rnacentral:misc_RNA from 1 species